UCCUAGUUUUCAGUUUCCUCAGCCGUACAUGUGAAUAGAUAGAUCAAUAGUUUUUUUUAGAAUUUUUUAAUUGAAGUAUCUUUGACUACAAUAAUCCAAUUUUCCUGGGUUAUUUUAGCUCUUAAAUCCUUUUAGAAUCUUUUCUUAUUUAUUCAGAGUCAAUAAGGUAAAUAUCAGUAAUCCUUUUAUUCUUUUGACACACUGAUUAUAACAGACACUCUCAAAGACUAAGAAAGCAUACUGGAAAGACUGCCAUGUGCUUGUCAGUAAUGUAUCUGUGACAGCUGCGAAUAACAGGGGAUUAUGAUACAGUGCAAUUCAUACUCUAAUAAGGGAAAUUCAAGGUGCUGGUGGAAAGAGAGUGUAGAAAGAGCUCACAGUGAUCCCCGAGCAGAAGUAACGUCCAAAUUGAGAACUGAUCAGCUUCCCUGGAACAACACGGGUCUCCAAACAAGAAUCAGAAGCUGAUGGGAAUGGUGCACGUUUACUAGGGGGACAACCACAGAUGGCCAAUGCAGACUGAACUCUUAAGUGAGAUUCUUCAAGUGGAAGAAGAAAACAGGUUUGGCAUUUCCUUUUAAGGGAGGCAACUCCCUAAGUGGAGAGUCCUAUACUUAUUUGGUAGCUUGUAUUUUUACAGGUCCUUCACUAGAGGCCCAGUGAACGGUGAGGAUGAAGUGGGAAAGGGGAACAGGUGAAGGUAUUCAGGAUCUAACUUGACAGGUAAGAUCUACCCUGUUGAUUUGGUGGAAGAACAAAGUUUAAGAAAUGGCAGUCUUUUACUAUCUUCUCACUAUUUUGCUCUUCUAGCAGUUAAAUUGUGCUCUAACAACUGGCUAUCACUGCACUGCUCAAGUUAUGUGUCUGCAGUCACGUGUCUUAAAUAUUGAGAAGCAAUACCAUGAGACAUGUUUGAGGGAAGAGUCUAUUCUUUUGUUACCAUUUCAGUGACACUUUCAUCAUUACUCAGGAGCUGUCAUAAACUGGCAGCAGGUUCACACUCAGUCCCCAGUGGCAGAGUCACCCUCCACCAGUGAGUCAUCAAGUUUGGACAGUGAGCUCCCUACAUGACCAUGGAGAGCUGAAAUUCAUGGCUGUUCUCUGGCCAUGACCCAGAGACAUACAGGAUAAUCUGGUCCUUGAGUAAAAUUAGGGAGAGAGAAGGUGCCUCAAACCUUAACAGAUGGAAUGGUAGGUCUCAGAGUUGAAUUCAGUUUGAUACAGAGAAAUGAAUUGAUGUGGUAUUUCUUUUACUGGGAUAUGUGGAAUGAAA
rnacentral:lncRNA from 1 species